UACGUAGGUGGCAAGCGUUGUCCGGAUUUACUGGGCGUAAAGAGCGCGCAGGCGGUCGUUUCAAGUCGAGUGUGAAAGCCCCCCGGCUCAACUGGGGAGGGUCACUCGAUACUGAUCGACUCGAAGGCAGGAGAGGGAAGCGGAAUUCCCGGUGUAGUGGUGAAAUGCGUAGAUAUCGGGAGGAACACCAGUGGCGAAGGCGGCUCUCUGGGCAGAUACGUGACGCUGAGACGCGAAAGCAUGGGGAGCAAACAGGG
rnacentral:rRNA from 1 species